GAUGAACGCUGGCGGCGUGCUUAACACAUGCAAGUCGAGCGAAGCGCUUAAGUUUGAUUCUUCGGAUGAAGACUUUUGUGACUGAGCGGCGGACGGGUGAGUAACGCGUGGGUAACCUGCCUCGUACAGGGGGAUAACAGUUAGAAAUGACUGCUAAUACCGCAUAAGACCACGGUACCGCAUGGUACAGUGGUAAAAACUCCGGUGGUAUGAGAUGGACCCGCGUCUGAUUAGGUAGUUGGUGGGGUAACGGCCUACCAAGCCGACGAUCAGUAGCCGACCUGAGAGGGUGACCGGCCACAUUGGGACUGAGACACGGCCCAGACUCCUACGGGAGGCAGCAGUGGGGAAUAUUGCACAAUGGAGGAAACUCUGAUGCAGCGACGCCGCGUGAAGGAUGAAGUAUUUCGGUAUGUAAACUUCUAUCAGCAGGGAAGAAAAUGACGGUACCUGACUAAGAAG
rnacentral:rRNA from 1 species